GCGUCCGCUGGCCGAGGAGGGGGUGGCGGCGGCCGCCCGCGGCGACCGGGCCGGGUACGCCGAGGCCGACCACGCCUUCCACCAGGCGUUGAUCGCGC
rnacentral:tRNA from 1 species